rnacentral:rRNA from 1 species
GAUAAACGCUGGCGGCGUGCCUAAUACAUGCAAGUCGAGCGAACGGACGAGAAGCUUGCUUCUCUGAUGUUAGCGGCGGACGGGUGAGUAACACGUGGAUAACCUACCUAUAAGACUGGGAUAACUUCGGGAAACCGGAGCUAAUACCGGAUAAUAUUUUGAACCGCAUGGUUCAAAAGUGAAAGACGGUCUUGCUGUCACUUAUAGAUGGAUCCGCGCUGCAUUAACUAGUUGGUAAGGUAACGGCUUACCAAGGCAACGAUGCAUAGCCGACCUGAGAGGGUGAUCGGCCACACUGGAACUGAGACACGGUCCAGACUCCUACGGGAGGCAGCAGUAGGGAAUCUUCCGCAAUGGGCGAAAGCCUGACGGAGCAACGCCGCGUGAGUGAUGAAGGUCUUCGAAUCGUAAAACUCUGUUAUUAGGGAAGAACAUAUGUGUAAGUAACUGUGCACAUCUUGACGGUACCUAAUCAGAAAGCCACGGCUAACUACGUGCCAGCAGCCGCGGUAAUACGUAGGUGGCAAGCGUUAUCCGGAAUUAUUGGGCGUAAAGCGCGCGUAGGCGGUUUUUUAAGUCUGAUGUGAAAGCCCACGGCUCAACCGUGGAGGGUCAUUGGAAACUGGAAAACUUGAGUGCAGAAGAGGAAAGUGGAAUUCCAUGUGUAGCGGUGAAAUGCGCAGAGAUAUGGAGGAACACCAGUGGCGAAGGCGACUUUCUGGUCUGUAACUGACGCUGAUGUGCGAAAGCGUGGGGAUCAAACAGGAUUAGAUACCCUGGUAGUCCACGCCGUAAACGAUGAGUGCUAAGUGUUAGGGGGUUUCCGCCCCUUAGUGCUGCAGCUAACGCAUUAAGCACUCCGCCUGGGGAGUACGACCGCAAGGUUGAAACUCAAAGGAAUUGACGGGGACCCGCACAAGCGGUGGAGCAUGUGGUUUAAUUCGAAGCAACGCGAAGAACCUUACCAAAUCUUGACAUCCUUUGACAACUCUAGAGAUAGAGCCUUCCCCUUCGGGGGACAAAGUGACAGGUGGUGCAUGGUUGUCGUCAGCUCGUGUCGUGAGAUGUUGGGUUAAGUCCCGCAACGAGCGCAACCCUUAAGCUUAGUUGCCAUCAUUAAGUUGGGCACUCUAAGUUGACUGCCGGUGACAAACCGGAGGAAGGUGGGGAUGACGUCAAAUCAUCAUGCCCCUUAUGAUUUGGGCUACACACGUGCUACAAUGGACAAUACAAAGGGCAGCGAAACCGCGAGGUCAAGCAAAUCCCAUAAAGUUGUUCUCAGUUCGGAUUGUAGUCUGCAACUCGACUACAUGAAGCUGGAAUCGCUAGUAAUCGUAGAUCAGCAUGCUACGGUGAAUACGUUCCCGGGUCU